CCUACGGGAGGCAGCAGUGGGGAAUCUUGCGCAAUGGGCGAAAGCCUGACGCAGCCAUGCCGCGUGAAUGAUGAAGGUCUUAGGAUUGUAAAAUUCUUUCACCGGGGACGAUAAUGACGGUACCCGGAGAAGAAGCCCCGGCUAACUUCGUGCCAGCAGCCGCGGUAAUACGAAGGGGGCUAGCGUUGCUCGGAAUUACUGGGCGUAAAGGGAGCGUAGGCGGAUAGUUUAGUCAGAGGUGAAAGCCCAGGGCUCAACCUUGGAAUUGCCUUUGAUACUGGCUAUCUUGAGUACGGAAGAGGUAUGUGGAACUCCGAGUGUAGAGGUGAAAUUCGUAGAUAUUCGGAAGAACACCAGUGGCGAAGGCGACAUACUGGUCCGUUACUGACGCUGAGGCUCGAAAGCGUGGGGAGCAAACAGGAUUAGAUACCCUGGUAGUCCACGCUGUAAACGAUGAGUGCUAGUUGUCGGCAUGCAUGCAUGUCGGUGACGCAGCUAACGCAUUAAGCACUCCGCCUGGGGAGUACGGUCGCAAGAUUAAACCUUAAAUGAAUUGACGG
rnacentral:rRNA from 1 species